UCUAGAACUCGAGAUAUGGGCUGAACACUGAACAUUGUCUAGGCUACAUGACAGAUUCCGACUUCUCUGUUGUUGCUACCAUUUGAACUCGAAAAUGACACUUUCAAAUCUUUGACUCUUCAUGAAAGUUUUAGGCCUAUGUCUUAGCUUUCUAUC
rnacentral:pre_miRNA from 1 species